UUACUCAGUUCAGAUUGCAGGCUGCAACCCGCCUGCAUGAAGUCGGAAUUGCUAGUAAUCGCGGAUCAGCAUGCCGCGGUGAAUACGUUCCCGGGCCUUGUACACACCGCCCGUCACACCAUGGGAGCCGGUAAUACCCGAAGUCAGUAGUCCAACCUCGUGAGGACGCUGCCGAAGGUAGGAUUGGCGACUGGGGUGAAGUCGUAACAAGGUACC
rnacentral:rRNA from 1 species